AACCUUGUUUUAAAAAAAUGCUUAUUUGCAAGUGUGUUUUUCGUUGAAAAUGAUAAUUAAUAAGUUUAUUUGACAUGACAUGGCGUCAAACAUUUUUAUCUACAUGAAAAUUUAUAAUUUUUACUGCAAAGAAACUUGCUCAUAGCCACCACUCACAGUUGAACACAAUGUGUAAAAUACGCAAAAUAAAAUUAAAAUUAAAAAAAACAACAACGCGCACACUGACACACUGAGUAAAACUGUAAUGAAAUUAUGUAACAUGAAAAUUAAACAAAAAGAAAAUAAAUUUAUGUAAAAAAAGAUAUCGAAAAAUGAUUGUAAAAUCUACAUGCGAGCGAGUGUAAUUUCGGCAAUAAUAAUUUUUAUUUUAAAUAUUUUCUUUAACACAUUGGGUGGAAUUUUUUGUCAUAUGACAUGACGCAAUUACAUAUAGUGAAAUAUUCGGUGAAAUUUUUAUCAUCAUCAUAACAAUAAUAAUAAUAAUUGAAAAAAAACCAUUUGAAUACAAAUUAAGAUUUCGUGUUCAUUAUGCGUCCGAAAUGAAAGAAAAGAAACAGAAUCUCCGAAACGUUCAAUGGCACUUUUAUUGAAAUGUAAGAAAAAGCGCGUCGUCCGGGUUGCAUUAUGAGAUUGAUUCCGUUCGUAU